ensembl:lncRNA
UUUCCCCAGAUGCUCAAUCAGUGGUUCUGGCCUGUGACUCAACAGUUCCCAUACAGCUGAUACAACAGUAGAGAUAAGUACACAGGUACCGGCAGUAUCCAAAUUCCAGCUCUUGUAGAUGUUUAAUUGCUCAAGAGGAACAAGAAAGAAGAUAUUUUACCAAGAAAAAAAAAUGGAGCUUAUUUGGCAAAGAAUUUACAGCAUAUGGAUGAGAUGAAAGAAGGCACAGCUGGCUUCAAUUUUCUGCAGUAGAAUUUAGCAUUCAAAAGUAUAGCAAAUAUUGGUAGAAAGAUUCAUUCAAAACUCAGUUUGGCAUCAAAUAUGUGAAACUAUUUUGGUUCAGUAUACUUCUUUUAAACACAAAAUACAGCUCAAAAUUUAUUUUUAUUACACAUUAAAACCAAUAACAGUAACAUGUACUUGGUCUUUGGUUUGGGUAAACCAAACAGGGCAAUUUAUGGAGCAUUCAUGUAAUGUUAAUAUUCAUAUUCUCUAUUAUUACAGAGCAGUACUAUUCCUAUUUAUUACUGAAAAUGAACGAGACAUAAAAUUUGAUCCUUUGCAUUUUCUUGAUUGUAAUUGGUGCAGAAAAUAUUUCUUCCUCAAAGAUUUCACACUGUUGUAUACUUUCAGAUUCACUGAAUGCUGCUGAAAGGUGUCUAAAGCAUAGUGCCUCUGGACUCUUCUUUUUUUUAUUAUUUAUUUAACCAGCAUUAUGGUUAUUGGUCACAGGCAUGAAGGUGUUAUUUUUGCAUUACUGAAAAUAACUGAUUGUAACAUAUUCCAUGACUUGGGAGGAAUAAAGUAGUGGUGUUUUUUAAAAUCUGAGAACAGAUGGGAAACACUAUCUAGUAAAGAAACUUUUACUCCACCAAUGCAGUAGAGAACAUUCCCAUCCUUUCUAACUUCCCUGGAUGUAUCUAUCUAGUUUCCACCUGAUUACCUUUUCCAAAGUUAUCUAGCUUACAUCGGAGCAGGGAGAAUUAUAUUAAAUAAAAUUUUCUUGGUAAUAACUACUGCAGAAGCAUUCUCUGCAGUACCAUAUAUGGAACAUGUCUUUUGGUUCUUGGAGACGAAUUUUACAAAUUGAAGAAAUGAUAGUAGUUCUCGGACGGUAGACAUCAGCCCUGCAUUCAAGGAAGGAAUAUAGUUACUGAGUAGUAACAAAUAACCUACAAAACUUCCUGCAAAAGCCAAGGGGGGUGAAGGGAAUAUCACAAAGAGGGUACCAGCUUGUUCUUUCUUGUUCCUAGGUGAGUGGAACUAUGCAUUUGCCUUCAAAAUCUUAUCCUCAGUCUUUCCAAUUCUAAAAAACAUUCUCUUACUCCCUUCGCACUGUGGAGGUCAGUCUAAGUUUGCUUCCUCCCAAAGGCUUCUUCUGAGCCUCCAUCAUGGCAUUUUUCUAGCUAUCAGGCUGAUUUUGUUACAGGCUUGCUUAUUACUAUAGGUUUCCAAUAGCGCUGCCUGGUAAUAAAAUGCAACAUAUUCUACUGUCAUUGGUCUAGAGUGACGGCAAUUUCGUGCUCAUAGAUGGCAAUUGUGCAUCUCUGGAUUUGAGAGAGUUGAGAGAGUUGACAGAUGCAAAAGAGCUUGAGAAAAGGCAGGUGCAAGUCUUGUGCAGAU